UAGUUCAGCACUAAGUCACUUUGUCUUAAUGGCAAAUGUGAGAUGCAGUGUAUGGAAUGUCAAAUUUCUAGUAUGAGAAAUUAACGAUUUAAGUCCUUCUUAAAUGAGGCCAUUUACCCAAAGAGGGUGCCAGGCCCGUAUAACGUUAAUGAUUACUAGAUGGCAUUUCCAAAGAGUCGUGUUGCUUGAUAGUGCAGCACUAAGUGGGUGGUAAACUCCAUCUAAAACUAAAUAUAACCAUGAGACCGAUAGUAAACAAGUACCGUGAGGGAAAGUUGAAAAGAACUCUGAAUAGAGAGUUAAAUAGUACGUGAAACUGCUUAGAGGUUAAGCCCGAUGAACCUGAAUAUCCAUUAUAGAAAAUUCAUCAUUAUGAUUUUAAUAUUUAUAAUAUUAUAAUAAUGGUGUGCAUUUUUUCUAUAAAAGGACAUUGUAAUCUAUUAACAUCAAAUAUUUAUCAAAAGAUCAAUUGCAAAUGUUUAUUCAAAUUAUUUUGCUUGCAAUUUAACAUAGAAUAAAUGCUUUUGAUUUGAUAAAGUGUUGAUAGAUUUAUUAUAUAUAGUGCUUGAAUAUUUAUAUUCUAUAAUAGCAUAUUAAUCAUUGAUUUUUAUGUUUAUUAUAUGCACUUAUAUGAUUAACAAUGCGAAAGAUUCAGGAUACCUUCGGGACCCGUCUUGAAACACGGACCAAGGAGUCUAACAUAUUUGCAAGUUAUUGGGAAUAAAAACCUAAUAGCGAAAUUAACAUAACUUAUUUAAUGGGAUUAAUUUUUAGCCUAUUUUUAUAGUCUAUUAAUUCAAUCCCGGGGCGUUCUAUAUAGUUAUGUAUAAUAAUAUUUAUAUUAUUUAUACCUCUAACUAGAGCGUACCUUGAGCAUAUAUGCUGUGACCCGAAAGAUGGUGAACUAUACUUGAUCAGGUUGAAGUCAGGGGAAACCCUGAUGGAAGACCGAAACAGUUCUGACGU
rnacentral:rRNA from 1 species